rnacentral:rRNA from 2 species
GGAAACGGACGCUAAUACCGCAUACGUCCUACGGGAGAAAGCAGGGGACCUUCGGGCCUUGCGCUAUCAGAUGAGCCUAGGUCGGAUUAGCUAGUUGGAGGGGUAAUGGCUCACCAAGGCGACGAUCCGUAACUGGUCUGAGAGGAUGAUCAGUCACACUGGAACUGAGACACGGGCCAGACUCCUACGGGAGGCAGCGGUGGGGAAUAUUGGACAAUGGGCGAAAGCCUGAUCCAGCCAUGCCGCAGUGUGUGAAGAAGGUCUUCGGAUUGAAAAGCACUUUAAGUUGAGAGGAAGGGCCGUUACCUAAUACGUGAUGCUUUUGACGUUACCGACAGACUAAGCACCGGCUCACUCUGUGCC